GACGAACGCUGGCGGCGUGCUUAACACAUGCAAGUCGAACGGAAAGGCCCUGCUUGCAGGGUACUCGAGUGGCGAACGGGUGAGUAACACGUGGGUGAUCUGCCCUGCACUUCGGGAUAAGCCUGGGAAACUGGGUCUAAUACCGGAUAGGAGCCAUUUUUAGUGUGAUGGUUGGAAAGUUUUUUUCGGUGUAGGAUGAGCUCGCGGCCUAUCAGCUUGUUGGUGGGGUAAUGGCCUACCAAGGCGGCGACGGGUAGCCGGCCUGAGAGGGUGGACGGCCACAGUGGGAGGGAGACACGGCCCGGCCCCCUCGGGGGGGAGGGGGGGGGGAUUAUUGAAAAAGGGGGGCAAGCCUGAGGCGGCUCCGCCGGGGGGGGGAUGACGGCCUUGGGGUUGUAACCUCCUUUCCCUGGGGAAAAAGUUUUUGGGGAGGUACCUUAAAAAAGAGACCCGGGCAACCUCCGGC
rnacentral:rRNA from 1 species